CAUCUAAAGUAAAACAGCCUAAAAAGAGCUAAAAUGAAAGUAUAAUCUGUAUAGACUUAUAUAAUUUACUGUACUAAAUCUAACACAAGUUUAGCUUAGUUAAAAAACUUUUAUUGAUAAGUGACUUAAAUUGAAGGAAUUAAGCCAAUUUAAACUUGUUAUGUUCGCAUUUCAAGCUUUCGUUAUUAAACGAAUUAAUUUUUAAACAUAGAGACUGUUUAGCAAAAACAUAAUGCUUUGCUAAUAUUAAUUAAAUGUAUAAAGCAUGACUUGUACCCGGUGUAUAAUGAAAAACUUAAAAACAAAGAUAAUCAUUAAAUAGACGGUUGCUUUAACUAUUAGAGUAAUAAUGUAGCGUAGUACCUUGUCACUUAAUUAGUGACUUGCAUGAUAAAGUAACUACUAUGUUGCUGUCUUCAAUUUAAGCUUAAUGAAAUUACAAUUUUUGUGCAAAUGCAAAAAUACUUUUACAAGACGAAAAGACCCUAGAUCCUUUACAAAAAACUUAUAACGAAUUUAGUCAUUUUUAAAGUAAUAGAAUAUGUGGUUGUAUUUAUAUAACUUUUAUAUUAUACUAAAAUGAAAUCCCACACAUUAAAUAUAGAGUAAAUUUAACUGUAAUUCAUACAGUUUUUUUAUGUUUUUUUGUUUAACUGGGGCGGUAGUCUCCUAUAAAUUAACGGAGUAUAUACAAAGGUAAAAAUUUAAAUAAAAAAAUAUUUUUACUUAAUUGUAAGAUUAAAUAUAUCAAACAAUAAUAUUAUGUUGGUUUUAAUGACCUGCUAUUUACAAAUGUUAAAUAAUUUAAAGCAAAAUAGCAAUUAUUAAACUUAGGAACUCUAGGGAUAACAGCUUAAUUAAUAUGUUAAGUUCAAAUUAACAUAUUAGUUUAAGACCUCGAUGUCGGCAAGUCAUAUCCUUAAACUGAAAAUGGUUUAAAAGGUACAAUUGUUCAUUGUAUAAAAUGACACAUGAGCUGGGUUAAAAGCGUCGUAAGACAGCUUGGUCUAUAUCUGUAAGAGUUUAUGUAAAGCUAAUGCAAUUUUUGAUUGUACGAAAGGACUU
rnacentral:rRNA from 1 species